rnacentral:rRNA from 1 species
ACGCUCGACACCUACUGGAGGCAGCAGUGGGGAAUAUUGCACAAUGGGGGAAACCCUGAUGCAGCGACGCCGCGUGAGCGAAGAAGUAUUUCGGUAUGUAAAGCUCUAUCAGCAGGGAAGAAAAUGACGGUACCUGACUAAGAAGCCCCGGCUAACUACGUGCCGGCAGCCGCGGUAAUCUGAGCGGGCUGGCAAGGC